CUGGAAAUUUUAUUUCUAGUGAUUGGAAUGAUGGGAAUUUAAACCCCUUUCAGAGUAACAAUUGGAGGGCAAGUCUGGUGCCAGCAGCCGCGGUAAUUCCAGCUCCAAUAGCGUAUAUUAAAGUUGUUGCAGUUAAAAAGCUCGUAGUUGGAUGUCUGCUGGAAGCAAUCAGUCCGCCCUAUUUGUAGGGUGUGCACUUGAUGAAUUCUGGCAUCUAUGUCCCAAUAAUAUGAUGGUGUAUACCCUGUGUACACCCAUCUAUAUUGGGAUAAUACCGUUACUUUGAGAAAAUUAGAGUGUUUGAAGCAGGCUAAUUGCCUUGAAUACUGCAGCAUGGAAUAACAAUAUAGGAUUUCGGUUCUAUUUUGUUGGUUUCUAGGACUGAAAUAAUGAUUAAUAGGGACAGUUGGGGGCAUUCGUAUUUAACUGUCAGAGGUGAAAUUCUUAGAUUUGUUAAAGACGAACUACUGCGAAAGCAUUUGCCAAAGAUGUUUUCAUUAAUCAAGAACGAAAGUUAGGGGCUCGAAGACGAUCAGAUACCGUCGUAGUCUUAACCAUAAACUAUGCCGACUAGAGAUAG
rnacentral:rRNA from 1 species